rnacentral:sRNA from 1 species
UGGGGUGUACUAUUCCCUCAUGUGGCCCCGUAAAAAAGGGAAUCCAGCACCGCCUAACCUUGCAAACUUUUAAAAACGUUACCUCGGCGGGUUUGCCCGCCGGUGGAUAUAUAUUAAACUCUUUAAAUAUGACUGUAAAUUAGCAUUAAAUGUCUGAAAAAUUAGUUUAAAUAUUAAAACUUUCAACAACGGAUCUCUUGGUUCUGGCAUCGAUGAAGAACGCAGCGAAAUGCGAUAAGUAGUGUGAAUUGCAGAAUUCAGUGAAUCAUCGAAUCUUUGAACGCACAUUGCGCCCCUCGGUAUCCCGGGGGGCAUGCCUGUUCGAGCGUCAUUUCUACCCCUCAAGCUUAGCUUGGUAUUGGGCAUCAUUAUUUUCUUUUUAGGGAAGUAAUGUGCCUUAAAUGUAGCCGGCGGCAAGCACCAGUUCCGAGCGUAGCAGUAAAACAUUUCGCUUUGGGAAUUUGGAGCAUUGUUAACCGUAUAAAGUCUUUUAUAGUUUGACCUCGGAUCAGGCAGGGAUACCCGCUGAACUUAAGCAUAUCAAUAAGCGGAGGAAAAGAAACCAACAGGGAUUGCCUCAGUAACGGCGAGUGAAGCGGCAAUAGCUCAAAUUUGAAAUCUGGCGUCUUUGGGCGUCCGAGUUGUAAUUUGUAGAGGAUGUUUCGGCAUUUGGCUCUAGUCUAAGUCCCUUGGAACAGGGUGUCAUAGAGGGUGAGAAUCCCGUAUGUGAUUAGUUGCCUUUGCCAUGUGAAACUCCUUCGACGAGUCGAGUUGUUUGGGAAUGCAGCUCUAAUUGGGAGGUAAAUUUCUUCUAAAGCUAAAUACUGGCCAGAGACCGAUAGCGCACAAGUAGAGUGAUCGAAAGAUGAAAAGCACUUUGGAAAGAGAGUUAAAAAGUACGUGAAAUUGUUGAAAGGGAAGCGCUUGCAAUCAGACCUGCUUGCAGUUGUUCAUCUAGGCUCUCGGGCCUAGUGCAUUCUUCUGUAAGUCAGGCCAGUAUCGGUUUAGGCGGUUGGAUAAAGAAUUCAGGAAUGUAGCUUCUUUCGGGAAGUGUUAUAGCCUGUUUUGUAAUGCAGCCAGCCUAGAUCGAGGACCGCGCU